CUUUUUCACCAAAAAAUUAGAAUCGGAAUGGACGAUUCUGUUUGGUAGGCGAUUCCGUUGUUUGGCACGCAAAAGUCCAGUCCGAUUCUGAUUUUCCGAGUGAAAUGUGAAUCCCCAUCUUCCCUUUUUCUAAUUCGGGCUAGUAUGCUAGAUUACAAAUUGAAUUAUAAUGGUACGAACGUUUGCUCUAUAAAUAUCAGAACUAUACUUUUAUAUAGAAGUAGGCUGGAAUACUAUCAAUAGCACUAAGCCAUUGGUGCUAUUAGUUUUUUAGCCCUUGGAUUUAGAGAUAUAUGGUUAGUAUGAUGUGGACCUCCUAAGGUUGAGUGGGUGGUUGGUUGAAUAGUAUAAUCUGACAGGUAAAAAUAAUCAAAGAUUAAAUCUAAUGGUAGAAAACUCGAUAGCACCAAAUCCUUGGUGCUAUCGAUAGUAUCCCAGCCGGACUCCUUUUAUAUUUUAUAUUUUAUAUUUAAUUUUAAUUUCAAUUUUUAAUUAAAAUAAAAUUUUAAACGUAGAAAUUGAUUUUUUUUAUUUUAUAUUUUGAUUUACUUGAAUUGAAAUUUAAAUUCAAUCAAGCAUUUGAAUUUGAGCUAUUAAUUUGAAUUUAAAUUUAAAUUCAAAUUUAAAUAUUAUUUUUUUAUUUUUUAUUUUUAAUUAAACUUUAAAUUAAAUUUUUGGAUUCAAAUUAAAAUUUAAAUUGAAAUUUUAAAGUUUAAUUGUGAAUUCAUUUUAUUUUUUGAAUUGUCAAGUCAAUUUUUAAUUUUAAAAAAAUUAUGCAUUUUAAAUUUUG
rnacentral:lncRNA from 1 species